AUCGGUUCUACCCUCGGCGCCGGAUCGAUUCCGCCGCCCAAUUUGGCGCUGAUCCGCGGGUGGGUCGCAUCCGCCGCACGAUACAAUCGAGCCGGCGGUGGUUCUGGGCUCGAUUCGGUGGUCGGAUCAACGCUCCUGCUCAGUGUUUUUCCUUGGUUUGUUUAG
rnacentral:lncRNA from 1 species